rnacentral:rRNA from 1 species
AUACGGAGGGUGCAAGCGUUACUCGGAAUCACUGGGCGUAAAGGACGCGUAGGCGGGAUGCCAAGUCUGAUGUGAAAUCCUAUGGCUCAACCAUAGAACUGCAUUGGAAACUGGUAACCUAGAGUAUGGGAGGGGGAGAUGGAAUUAGUGGUGUAGGGGUAAAAUCCGUAGAUAUCACUAGGAAUACCGAAAGCGAAGGCGAUCUCCUGGAACAUUACUGACGCUAAGGCGUGAAAGCGUGGGGAGCAAACAGGAUUAGAAACCCCAGUAGUCC